GCCCCGGUAGCUCAAUUGGCAGAGCACUUGCCUCGUAAGCAAGGGGUUGAGGGUUCAAGUCCCUCCCGGGGCU
rnacentral:tRNA from 1 species